rnacentral:snRNA from 1 species
GUGCUCGCCUUGGCAGCAUAUAUACUAAAAUUGGAACGAUACAGAGAAGAUUAGCAUGGCCCCUGCGCAAGGAUGACACACAAAUUUGUGAACCAUUCCAUAUUUUU